CCUACGGGUGGCUGCAGUGGGGAAUAUUGCACAAUGGGGGAAACCCUGAUGCAGCGACGCCGCGUGAGUGAAGAAGUAUUUCGGUACGUAAAGCUCUAUCAGCAGGGAAGAAAAUGACGGUACCUGACUAAGAAGCCCCGGCUAACUACGUGCCAGCGGCCGCGGUAAUACGUAGGGGGCAAGCGUUAUCCGGAUUUACUGGGUGUAAAGGGAGCGUAGACGGCAGCGCAAGUCUGUAGUGAAAGUCCAGGGCUUAACCAUGGAACUGCUUUGGAAACUGUCAAUCUAGAGUGCAGGAGAGGUAGGGGGAAUUCGUGGUGGAGGGGGGAAUUGAGUAG
rnacentral:rRNA from 1 species